rnacentral:rRNA from 1 species
CGGGACACGUGGUAUCCUGUCUGAAUAUGGGGGGACCAUCCUCCAAGGCUAAAUACUCCUGACUGACCGAUAGUGAACCAGUACCGUGAGGGAAAGGCGAAAAGAACCCCGGCGAGGGGAGUGAAAAAGAACCUGAAACCGUGUACGUACAAGCAGUGGGAGCACGCUUCGGCGUGUGACUGCGUACCUUUUGUAUAAUGGGUCAGCGACUUAUAUUCUGUAGCAAGGUUAACCGAAUAGGGGAGCCGAAGGGAAACCGAGUCUUAACUGGGCGUUAAGUUGCAGGGUAUAGACCCGAAACCCGGUGAUCUAGCCAUGGGCAGGUUGAAGGUUGGGUAACACUAACUGGAGGACCGAACCGACUAAUGUUGAAAAAUUAGCGGAUGACUUGUGGCUGGGGGUGAAAGGCCAAUCAAACCGGGAGAUAGCUGGUUCUCCCCGAAAGCUAUUUAGGUAGCGCCUCGUGAAUUCAUCUCCGGGGGUAGAGCACUGUUUCGGCAAGGGGGUCAUCCCGACUUACCAACCCGAUGCAAACUGCGAAUACCGGAGAAUGUUAUCACGGGAGACACACGGCGGGUGCUAACGUCCGUCGUGAAGAGGGAAACAACCCAGACCGCCAGCUAAGGUCCCAAAGUCAUGGUUAAGUGGGAAACGAUGUGGGAAGGCCCAGACAGCCAGGAUGUUGGCUUAGAAGCAGCCAUCAUUUAAAGAAAGCGUAAUAGCUCACUGGUCGAGUCGGCCUGCGCGGAAGAUGUAACGGGGCUAAACCAUGCACCGAAGCUGCGGCAGCGACACUAUGUGUUGUUGGGUA